UACCCAUUCACCAUACGAUCACCGAAGUUAAGCAGCGUAGAGCCAGGUCAGUACUUAGAUGGGGGGGGGCCGCUUGGGAACACCUGGUACUGUAAG